GAAUCUUGCUUACCUGAGGCCUUCUGAAGAGUGUAAAACAUGGGAAAGGUGACAGAGCAGAACUUGGAGAUGCUUGGUGGAAUUUGUCUUCAUUUUUUGAACAUGUGUGAGUUGUCAGUGUCCCCGCUCCAUGUGGCAGAGGUGGAGGAGCCCAAGAUUGUCAACACCCACUGGGUAUUUCCUGAAGAAAAGCCUGGAUUUAUCUGCCUGACAGCAAUGAAUGCACAGAGAGAUGCAUGGUGACAGCUCUCUGCCUUCAUGUCCCCACUGCUGGUGUCCUCCUUGUCCCACAUGGGCCACAGAGCAGGUUUCCUGCUCUCCCAGUGUGAAGCACUUUGGCGCUGGAGGACGAGUUUGCAUUUCAGAUGUGCUAUGGACAUCAGCAUCAUCUUACCAUUUCUGUCCUCAAAAUUCCUUUCCAAAGGAAGUAGCCCUCCUCAUCGGAGCCUAUGAUCUCAAUGCAGCAUGUUUUUUUUCUCUGCCGUUUCCCCAGAAGCAUGAUGCUUUCUGUGACAUUUUUUCCCCCCCAGAUUCUGCCCUCAUCGUGUCUCCACUCAUUAAUGUGGGGUAUGUUUAUGGAUCUAAUUCUCCACAGGUUCUAAGGCCGGAGCAACUCUGUUGGAGUUAAAACAAACACUCGCUUGCUUCAGUCAUGUGAGCUCUGGUCAAACUUGGGUAAACUUAAAAGUUAACCAAGACUUGUUCAGGCUUUGAUAGUUGAACUGUAUUUGAAUGGAUUUUAUCAGAUUUUCCCAAAUGAUUCACCUCCAGGCUAAAAAGUGAACAGAAGGCAAAUCUGUGAUUCACAAAGAGAGGCAGCAGCACCACAGGGGCUGCAGGGCAGGCUCCAUCCAUCCAUGGCUGGCACCAUUUGCAUGGCACCAAGGGCGGGUGGUUUGGGGACACAUGGCAGCCAUGGCUCACAUGUCCCUAGCCCUGCCACGUGCCAGAUUUCCACUAUUUUUUUUUUUUCUAGGAGGGGGAAGAUUACACAGCCUCGUGUAUCUUCUGGCUCUGUUCAUUUUUUUUUUUGCUUGGACAAAGGCAAAGUUAGUCAAGUGGGUCUCAUAUUUAUUAAAGGAAUUUUACUUGUUCACUAGAUUGGCAGCAGUGUGAAGCAUAGAGGAUGCAAGCCCAGUGGACGUUUUUAUUUUAACAAUGGAAAUAUGCAAUCUGUCUCAGGAAAAUACAGCUGCUGAACAAAUUAACUUGUGUUGAAUGCUUAUUGGGGGUCUACAACUCAUUCUUUUGUUCUUCCUGUUCAGCAACUGUGUUUUUCUGACCAAGACAUAAUAGAUCGUGGCUCUGAAGAGCCUUUCAAUGGACGAUCUCCAAGUACUCGACAAACAUUAGUGAUUUGCUUGGAAAAGACUAAACCUUACCAUAAAUCCAGAGGAUAUUACCUAGAGUGCAGGGUGAAAAGUACAUUGCAGCUACCAGAGCGUUGCAGAAUGGUGUGUUUAAUAGGACUGACACAUACCAGGGGAUGUGCUCUGAUGGGGCGUCUGCUGUCAAGCUGUGACAUUGAUUCUUUCAUUUACUAAGGCAUUAAGAGGAUAUAAUAACAAGGUCUUAAUUCUUUUUCCAAAUUAAGGUGCUUGCGUGCAAGCAAGCAUCCAGAUCACUUCAUGGCAUUGUACCCAAGCCCUGGCUCCCACCCAGGUCUCUGCUGGCAUGUCCCUCUUCUGCUCCUAUAGGAAGCAGCCCACCCCACUGACCAGCUGGGAAUGUCCCUGACACAUGGCUGUUUGCUGGGUAACCUGAGAUUGCUAAAUGCUGUUGUGUUGCAAAGCUUUCCCCUGGCCAAGCAAUGAAGCAUGUCAAAAGUGCCUGCAUAUUCACUAUUAAGAGAGUUUGAGCUGUAGCCUCUCCAUGCUGUGUCUCAUCUGGAUUGCAGUCUGCAGGCAAUGUGUGAAGCUAAUUAGGAAAGCCUUGGUGCUGCGGUGAUUUAAGUAGGAGCUGGAGACUUCUCUGCCUGAAUUAGGGACUUGCCUGGAGAUUACUUGCUCCUUGUCUUUUUUGUCUUUACUCAAAAGCCACAGAAUGCACAGCUGACACUGCCCUGUAUCUGCCUUUGGCCUGCAGUUUUUAGACCCCAUUGCUGUUAUGCUAUUCCUUUCAACCACCGUUCCAAACCAAAGUUACAGAAUUUCAGUAUGAAAUCAAGUAUUUGCUCAAAUGUAGGUGCUUUCACAUAAGAGUUCUGUGUUUGGAGUUAGACUGGAGCUAGAGCUGCAGAACUAAUACUCCACAUUCAUUUCUCUCAAAUUCUCAGAGGGGGAAAAAAUGUAACCUUCUGUAUUUAGAACUAUCCAUACAACUUCCUUACUGGUGAAAGCAGCAACCUUCCUUUCUGCUGUCCAAGGCAACAGGAUCCUUAAAUAUACAGUCCUGAAAAUACCACAGAAGAAUCACUUUGGGAAUGCUCCCUUGUAAAAACAUUUCUGAAUUAUGAGAGUGUUGGAUCAAAGCGCGUGCUCUUUUAGACCCAGCUAUGAAUUAAUUGGUAAUGUGAUUUUGUUAUGCAGAUAUGGGAAGUCUGCAUGCAUCACCUAUGUUGUCCCAGGUCCAAACCAAGCCCGUAA